GGUCUUGUAGCUCAGUUGGUUAGAGUGUUGGUAUUAUGAGCCAAAGGUUGCGGGUUUAAGCCCCGCUAGGACUA
rfam:Ipomoea nil DNA, scaffold: scaffold2144, cultivar: Tokyo-kokei standard.